rnacentral:rRNA from 1 species
CCUACGGGAGGCAGCAGUGGGGAAUAUUGGGCAAUGGAGGAAACUCUGACCCAGCGACGCCGCGUGCGGGAUGAAGGCCUUCGGGUUGUAAACCGCUUUCAGCAGGGAAGAAGCGAAAGUGACGGUACCUGCAGAAGAAGCACCGGCUAACUAUGUGCCAGCAGCCGCGGUAAUACAUAGGGUGCAAGCGUUGUCCGGAAUUAUUGGGCGUAAAGAGCUCGUAGGUGGUUCGUCACGUCGGAUGUGAAAAUCUGGGGCUUAACCCCAGACCUGCAUUCGAUACGGGCGAGCUUGAGUAUGGUAGGGGAGUCUGGAAUUCCUGGUGUAGCGGUGGAAUGCGCAGAUAUCAGGAGGAACACCAAUGGCGAAGGCAGGACUCUGGGCCAUUACUGACACUGAGGAGCGAAAGCGUGGGGAGCGAACAGGAUUAGAUACCCUGGUAGUCCACGCCGUAAACGGUGGGCACUAGUUGUGGGGACCUUCCACGGUCUCUGCGACGCAGCUAACGCAUUAAGUGCCCGCCUGGGGAGUACGAUCGCAAGAAUUAAAACUCAAAUUGAAUUGACGGCUUGAGACGNGCGAGGACGACGACGAGGAGAGG